CACAGGGAACCUCCACAGCUCAGGCCAAAUGAAGCGUCACCAACUGUGGAGCUGCAUUUGCACACAAUCUCCAGAAGCGAAGGGGAAGUUGGUGGCUUCCAGGGCUGAAGGGAGGGACAAAUGGGGACUGACUGCUGACAGGGCUUCUUUAGGUGACGAUGCAGAUGUUCUGGAAUUCUGCAGUGAUGAUGGCCACACAGCGUUGUGAAGGGUUGUUAUCAAGAUUGGUGGUUCUACCUAAAUAUCCCUAGAAGACAGUUUGGCAUCUGCAACCCAAAGGUCGAUGUUUCCAUGAGUGCAACAUCACAGACAACACAAGCCGAAGCCACUGUGCCUUCGUGCGUGUGCCAGCGGGGCUCCAGCUUUCGCUUACAGAACACAGAUCCGCCGAACACCGCGCUGGGGCUGCUGUUGGCGCAUGGAGAAAAGUUAAAGGGAAAACCAGACGGGUUGCCCUCGAAGGGCUCACAAAAUAAUGGACAA